GGGUAAUGGGGAGGGUGGGGGGAUGGGGGAGGGGGCUUCAUUGGGUCACUGGGAUCAACGGGGUGGAAUUGGGGUCAAUGGGGACAGGGGGGUCAGUGGGGACAUUGGGUUCAUUGGGUCACUGGGAUCAACGGGGUCAAAUUGGGGUCCGUGGGGCACUGGGGUCACGUUGGGGUCAAUGGGGACAGUGGGGGACGUCUCCGUUGCCCCCCAGGGAGCUGCAGUGCACGGAGGUGCAGCCGGGCGGGCAGCAGCUGCAGUGCAUCCUCAGCAGCACCCACAGCACGGGGGAGGAGGCACCCAAAGGUGCUGCCCACGGACCCCCUCUGUGAGUCACCCCCCACCCAACGUGGCGCUGCGGACCACUGGGUGCCCACCGGGGCAAGAUGGCCGCCGCCAGGAUGAGGGGUGCUGUGCCAAGAUGGCCGCCACCGCCAUGAGGGGCGUCGUGACGAGAUGGCUGCCAUUCCAAGAUGGCUGGCUCCACCAAGAAGGUCGCCAUUCCAAGAUGGCACCCACCAAGAUGGCCGCCAAUCCAAGAUGGCUACCAAUCCAACAUGGCCGCCACCUCGGCCUGACGUUCUCCACGUGGCGCAGCUUGAUGACAUCAUCUCCCAUGGCCCCACCCACUGAACUGAAGGGGGCGGGAUCUUCCCUAACGGCCACGCCCACUUGGGGGCGUGGCCUUCUGAGUGGGCGUGGCCUCGUGGGCCGUUUUUAAUCUUCCUUUUCUCGGGUUUUUUUAAAAACGUUUUUAUAAUUUUUUUUUUUUAAACAUUUUUAUUAAAUUAUGGCCCAAAGUUGGAGCCAAGAAACACGCUGCCUGUAUGCAAAUGAAGGGGGCGUGGCCUCACUGCCCCAUUGAUUUCAUUGUGUCCAUGGGGUCGCGUUGCCCCCAAUGGGAUCCACGUGUCCCCGUUUGACCCCAUUGUGACCCCAACGUGACCCCAUUGUCCCCAACAUGACCCCAAUGUCCCCAAUGUCACCCCGGUGUCCCCAAUGUCACCCCAUUGACCCCACUGCCACCCCAAUGUGACCCCAUUGACCCCAAUGUCACCCCGAUGUCCCCAGUGUGACCCCAAUGUCCCCAAUGUCACCUCAAUGUCCUCAUUGCCCCCAACGUGACCCCAUUGACCCCAUGCCCCCCAAUGU
rnacentral:lncRNA from 1 species